rnacentral:rRNA from 1 species
AGGAUGAACGCUGGCGGCGUGCUUAACACAUGCAAGUCGAACGAUGAAGCGGAGCUUGCUCUGUGGAUUAGUGGCGAACGGGUGAGUAACACGUGAGUAACCUGCCCUUGACUCUGGGAUAAGCACUGGAAACGGUGUCUAAUACCGGAUACGAGCUUCAGCCGCAUGGCUAGGAGUUGGAAAGAAUUUCGGUCAAGGAUGGACUCGCGGCCUAUCAGGUAGUUGGUGAGGUAAUGGCCCACCAAGCCUACGACGGGUAGCCGGCCUGAGAGGGUGACCGGCCACACUGGGACUGAGACACGGCCCAGACUCCUACGGGAGGCAGCAGUGGGGAAUAUUGCACAAUGGGCGCAAGCCUGAUGCAGCAACGCCGCGUGAGGGACGACGGCCUUCGGGUUGUAACCUCUUUAGUAGGGAAGAAGCGAAAGUGACGGUACUGCAGAAAAGCACCGGCUAACUACGCGCCAGCAGCCGCGGU